rnacentral:siRNA from 1 species
ACGAUGAUUCCAACUACAACUGC